rfam:Phycisphaerae bacterium SM-Chi-D1, complete genome.
GGUCGGGUCCCAUACAAGUUGAGGCUCGUGAACCUGGUCAGGCGGGGAACCGAGCAGCCAUAAGCGUAGUCUUGAUUGUGUGUGGCAAACCCGGCCACC